rnacentral:rRNA from 1 species
AUUGAACGCUGGCGGAAUGCUUUACACAUGCAAGUCGAGCGGCAGCACGGGGGCAACCCUGGUGGCGAGCGGCGAACGGGUGAGUAAUACAUCGGAACAUGCCCAGUCGUGGGGGAUAACACUUCGAAAGAAGUGCUAAUACCGCAUACGUCCUGAGGGAGAAAGCGGGGGAUCGCAAGACCUCGCGCCAUUGGAGUGGCCGAUUUCGGAUUAGCUAGUUGGUGGGGUAAGGGCCUACCAAGGCAACGAUCUGUAGCUGGUCUGAGAGGAGGAUCAGCCACCCUGGAGCUGAGACACCGCCCAGACUCCUACGGGAGGCAGCAGUGGCGAAUUUUGGACAAUGGGGGCAACCCUGAUCCAGCCAUUCCGCGUGAGUGAAGAAGGCCUUCGGGUUGUAAAGCUCUUUCGGCAGGAACGAAACGGUGAGCUCUAACAUAGCUCGCUAAUGACGGUACCUGAAGAAGAAGCACCGGCUAACUACGUG